rnacentral:rRNA from 1 species
UACGGAGGGGGCUAGCGUUGUUCGGAAUUACUGGGCGUAAAGCGCUCGUAGGCGGCUUUGCAAGUCAGAGGUGAAAGCCCGGGGCUCAACCCCGGAAUAGCCUUUGAGACUGCAUCGCUAGAAUUGUGGAGAGGUAAGUGGAAUUCCGAGUGUAGAGGUGAAAUUCGUAGAUAUUCGGAAGAACACCAGUGGCGAAGGCGACUUACUGGACACAUAUUGACGCUGAGGUGCGAAAGCGUGGGGAGCAAACAGG